ACUCAGCUCUGCAGCUGAGGAAAAACAAAGGAACUGGCAUUGCUUAGAUGUUUCUUGAAGUCGAUGUCAGGAACGUGGCAAGGAAGAAUUAACACCACUCUCUACCAAAGGCCAUACAACUGAAAGUCGAAACCCAAGAAUGGUCAAGAAAUUGUCAUAUUUUCUGCUGUUUAUAAAGGAAGUAGUGAAAGUACCACAUGCACACAAUGAAUAGCUGGCACAGAAUAGAAGAUGAAUAAGAGCAAACCACUGUGAGAGCUGCAUUCACCGCAUAAGGUUCCAGGUUCAAUCCCUGGCAUCUCCAGGGGCAGAGCUGUAAACCAGGAAGAAAGAAGUGUCAGCCAGAUGUUUUUUCCUAGGAUUGCUAAAUUGUGAACUAAUUGCUUGAUGUUCACAAUCAUCCGCUCUGACGGGCUUGGACCCGCAUGGAGCCACAAUGAGCAUCUACACUUGGGAGGGGCUGAGGUUGAACCUUUUGCUGCUGCUACUGGCCACCCAACUAGCUGGUGCAGAAAGAGACACCGGCGAGGAAGAUUCAGAGGGCCCCCCCUCAGAAGCAGGUCCUCCUGGCUAUGAGACCAGUCUCUGGAGCUAAGCAGACAAGACAGAGUGGGCCUCUGAUUUUCCCUAUUGUGGGGGUCACAUGGAGUCCCCCAUCAACAUCAACACGAUGGCCACUCUCUUUAGCCCCCAGCUAAAGCCCAUCUUGCUGUCUGAUCAUAUCACCUGCCCCCCAAAGAGAUGCUCCGCCUUCAGAACAAUGGACACACUGGCCCGCUGAGGCUUGAGUCCUGGAGCCUCGCAGCUGACAGACACUCAAACUGCCCCCCCCGGGAGGAAGGAGAGGCAAGAGAAAUGGCAGCAAGCCGCACCAAGGGAGCGAUAACCUUAUACCUGCUUGUCACCCUCCUCCAUGGUCAAGAUAAUUUCAGUUAUAAUUUCAGGAGGGUGGCUUACAGGCUUCCCUUGGUUAAUUUUGACUUUUAUACUGUGUUUAUGUAUAUAUUUAUGGAUAUGGAUAUUGUUUAUGUAUUUUGCUUUGUAAAUUAAUUUGAUAUGU